rnacentral:rRNA from 1 species
AGCAGCCGCGGUAAUUCCAGCUCCAAUAGCGUAUAUUAAAGUUGUUGCAGUUAAAAAGCUCGUAGUUGAAUUUCGGGAUCAAAUUGUCGGUCGUGCCUCGGUACGCACUGGUAUUAUUGGUUCCUACCUUCUGAAGAACCGCGAUGUCAUUAAUUUGGUGUCGUGGGGAAUCAGGACUGUUACUUUGAAAAAAUUAGAGUGUUUAAAGCAGGCUUACGCUUGAAUACAUUAGCAUGGAAUAAUGAAAUAGGACGUUUGAUUCUAUUUUGUUGGUUUCUAGGAUUGACGUAAUGAUUAAUAGGGAUAGUUGGGGGCAUUAGUAUUCAAUUGUCAGAGGUGAAAUUCUUGGAUUUAUUGAAGACUAACUACUGCGAAAGCAUUUGCCAAGGAUGUUUUCAUUAAUCAAGAACGAAAGUUAGGGGAUCGAAGACGAUCAGAUACCGUCGUAGUCUUAACCAUAAAC